rnacentral:rRNA from 1 species
GACAGAGGAUGCAAGCGUUAUCCGGAAUGAUUGGGCGUAAAGCGUCUGUAGGUGGCUUUUCAAGUCCGCCGUCAAAUCCCCGGGCUCAACCUGGGAAUGGCGGUGGAUACUGGAUAGCUAGAGUGUGUCAGAGGAUGGUGGAAUUCCCGGUGUAGCGGUGAAAUGCGUAGAGAUCGGGAGGAACAUCAGUGGCGAAGGCGGCCAUCUGGGACAACACUGACGCUGAAGCACGAAAGCGUGGGGAGCAAACAGG